ACUGUGUGAUAACUUGCCCAGAAAUUCUUCUUGUGGAAUCUGUCUUUACAUGGAAACGACUUGGCAAUAUUUGUACAGCAACUGGAAGAAAGGUCUUUGCUGAGAUAUACAAAGAGGCAGAAUGUGUGUGGAUCACCGAUUAGACAAGGCAAAUAGGAGCAGAAUAGAAGAGGAAUGGAAUAGAACUCAAGAUGAUAAAACAUACUGUGUCCAGAAUUUAUUCCUUCCGGUGGGUUCUUGGUCUCACUGACUUUAAGAAUGAAGCUGAGGACCCUCGUGCCUCCAUGAAGGUAGUGAAUCUCAUCUGGCAGCUGAAGCCUCCAUGAAGGUAGUGAAUCUCAUCUGGCAGCUGAAGCCUCCAUGAAGAAAGUCAUGCCCAGGUGGCUCACCAACCUGGAGAAGGGACAAGAGACCUCUGGAGCUUCGCCUUUAUAGCUGAUUGCUUUUUGAAUCCCAGCCAUCCCAGCCUCCACAGUCUGAAGCAGAAACAUCUCAUCCAAACUGCAUUUGUGUGAGCAAGAAAUAAAUGCAGACAGCUAUAUGCCAAGGAGAUUUUAUAGUUGCUUGUUAUGUAAUAACAAUGACUAAUAGAGAAAUGAUUGAAGAGUACUGAAUCACAACAUUACUAGCUCAACCUGCUCCCCAGAAAAUUGCUAAUAAAGACAAUAAUAACAAGAAUUCCCUCUUAUUAAUGCCUAUCAAAUGCCAGCAAUAACUAGAUGCUUUGCACAUUGUAAUCUCAUUUUAUCCUAGGAAGACAACAACUCUGUGAAGUUGGUGAUCUUAUCCCUGUUUCAUUCCCAGGAAAUUAGGAUUCAGAAAUGGCUUAUAGAUUUUCAGAGAUCACAAAGUUAAGAAGUAUCAAUUCCAAGCUUACAAGCCAAAGACUUUAGACUAUAAAAUUCCUACCUGUUAGCUGGUGCCAAUGUGGCAAGAUUUGCCUUUACUACUCUUCAGCUUAUCUUUCCAUCAUUCCAUUCCCACAUUUCCACUCCCAUUCCCCAGCCCAUGUAAUUUCUAUUGAGUGCUGUAACUUUAUUCUAUGUAAUGCUAAGUUGUAAGGGCUCAGAAUUUAAGUUGCCUUUCAUGGUAUCCUAAUUUUGGUAGUAGGGAAUAGAUAGGCAUAGAUGGGGUGAAAAAAUGCGUUCAUAUAUUUGUAGAAUGCUCAUAGCAAAAAACAAAAUGAAGUUAUCUUAACUAUGUCAAAAGUUUUAGUGAAUCCAAAUAAUGUAUGCAAAAAAAAAAUUUUUAAUAAAAGCAAGAGUUGCAUAAGAAACAAAUAUUUAGGAAGAAUUGGGAUGUCUAUCACCACCCACAAAAUUAUAGAGUUAUUAUAUCCCCUGAUUGUAGAUCAGGAACAGUAGUCAAAGGGAUUGUUUAAAAAUGCAAAUCUGAUUAUGUCGCUUACAUUUUAAUAGGUAGAGACAGUCAGUAAUUGCUAUGGCCUGAACGUUUGUGUCCUACAAUUCAUAUAUUGAAACCUAAUUAUCAAAGUGAUGGUAUUAUCAUGUAGGCCUCUGGCAAAUGAUUUGAUUUUGAAGAUGGAGCCUGUAUGAAUGGGAUUAGUGUCCUUAUAAAACAGACACAAGGAAGCUCAUUGGCUCUUUCUACCCUGUGAGCAUACAAAAAGAAGGUACCAAUUAUGAAGCAGAAUGUGGGUCCCCAUGAGAUGCUGAAUCUGUUCAUACCUUGAUUUCAGAUCUUCCAGCCUGUGGAAAUGUGAGAAAUAAAUUUUUUUAAACCACGUAGUCUAUGGCAUUU